AGAGUUUGAUCCUGGCUCAGAACGAACGCUGGCGGCAGGCUUAACACAUGCAAGUCGAACGCCCCGCAAGGGGAGUGGCAGACGGGUGAGUAACGCGUGGGAAUCUACCUAGUUCUACGGAACAACACAGGGAAACUUGUGCUAAUACCGUAUACGCCCUACGGGGGAAAGAUUUAUCGGAAUUAGAUGAGCCCGCGUAAGAUUAGCUAGUUGGUGGGGUAAUGGCCUACCAAGGCGACGAUCUUUAGCUGGUCUGAGAGGAUGAUCAGCCACACUGGGACUGAGACACGGCCCAGACUCCUACGGGAGGCAGCAGUGGGGAAUAUUGGACAAUGGGCGCAAGCCUGAUCCAGCCAUGCCGCGUGAGUGAUGAAGGCCUUAGGGUUGCAAAGCUCUUUCAGUGGGGAAGAUAAUGACGGUACCCACAGAAGAAGCCCCGGCUAACUUCGUG
rnacentral:rRNA from 1 species